GGCUCAAGAUGGCGGCGCCGGGGCCACGAGGCCUCCUCGGCUUCGAAUGCAGCGACGCGGUCUGGAGCCCCUGCGAACUGGCUGAGGGUACCUGGAGCAGGUCAAGAAAGUCUGUGCCUCAGUUCCCAACUCCUUUGAAUUCAAUAGGGGAAUGCCCUCAAUUCCCCAUCAGAUAUGACUGGAUAUUAAUUUUCAUCUUCAUCAAGACAUUUGCCUGCUUCAAGUAGAUGUCUUCCAACAUGACAUGAUGUUUGGUGUCUUCUACGAGCAAUUCAUUCAGACUUCUUCCAGCAGCUGCCUUGAGAGCACUAUCAAGUGUUGAUUUUGCCUACAAAUAUGAUGGCAGUGCCCUCUGUAACUUUGGGUGAGAGGGCCCUUUCCACUACUUUUCCACACACGUAUCUAGUUAGAUCAGCCCUCUGUCCCAGGGUAUGGUCAUUUGUAUAGACUGUAUGCAAAAUUGACUUUGUAAUUGCUUCUUCAAAUACAUUAGGUUUAUUUUACAUUGUUGUUAUAAAGAAGAAAAAAUGUAGAAAAAAUAAUUUUAGAGCCAGGUUUCUUGGAUUUCUCAUCUAUAAAAAUGAGUUUUAAAAUGUUUUGAUUUGUGGGCAUGCUCAAAAG
rnacentral:lncRNA from 1 species